rnacentral:misc_RNA from 1 species
GAUGAAGAACGUAGCGAAAUGGGAUAAGUAAUGUGAAUUGCAGAAUUCAGUGAAUCAUCGAAUCUUUGAACGCACAUUGCGCCCCUUGGUAUUCCGAGGGGCAUGCCUGUUCGAGCGUCAUUUCAACCCUCAAGCACAGCUUGGUCUUGGGCUUCGCCGCUAACCCGGCGGGUCUUAAAAUCAGUGGCGGUGCCGUCGGGCCCUGAGCGCAGUAAUCUCUCUCGCUAUAGGGUCCCGGCGGAUGCUGGCCAGUAACCCCCAAUUUUCUAUGGUUGACCUCGGAUCAGCUAGGGAUACCCGCUGAACUUAAGCAUAUCAAUAAGCGGAGG